GUGAAUUGUAAUCAACCCGAGUGGAAUAGAGUGGAAUGGAAAGGAAUGAAAUGGAAUGGAAUGGAAUGGAAUGGAAUGGAAUGGAAUGGAAUGGAAUCAAACCUAGUGGAAUGGAAUGGAAUGGAAUGGAAUGGAAUGGAAUGGAAUGGAAUGGAAUCAACUGGAAUGGAAUGGAAUGGAAUGCAAUGCAACUGAAUGGAAUGGGAUGGAAUCAACCCGAGUGGAAUGGAAUGGAAUGGAAUGCAGUGGAAUGGAAUGGAAUGGAAAGGAAUGGAAUGGAAUGGAUUGGAAUCAACCC
rnacentral:lncRNA from 1 species